AAAUGUGAGGGGUGUGGCGUUCCUCAGCACGCUUGGUCCCCAGGGAGCGCUGUUUGUUUGUUUGUUUGCUUGUUUGUUUGUCUGUUUGUUUAACGGAGCGCUGCGCUGGGCAUCCCGGCGACCGACGAGGACUUCGCUGAGUCCUCGGGGAGAUGCAAACGAGUCCGUUCUCUUUCUAGGAGCUCCAACUCGCAGCGCCAAGCGCCGAGGAUGCCGGACGGACUCAAGAUCCUAACUCUAACCUGAGGGACUGAGCGACUGCUCGCCCCAAAGUGUUCGCUCUCCUUCCUGGAAGAGCCACAAGGGGUUCGAGGCGACGCCCUAGGGACCCUUGGGAAGCGUCACGUCAGCCGCUUUCCCUCAUCCCUCGCUGUUGGGUGUCUGUGGAACAAACUCGUUUUCAGGACUGUGAUGACUAUUCUUCGUUGUCAACUUGACUAUAUCUGGAAUCACCUACAACCCAGAAAUGGAGAAGAGCACACCUGUGAGAGAUUGUCUGCUUAAAGUGGAUGAAUCCACUUCUAGUCCAGACCUUUGAGGUAGGAAGACACACAUUUUUAAUCUCAAUCUCGAGGUGGGAAGACACAAGUCUUUAAUCCAAAUCUUAAGAGAUGUCUUUUGUGAACAUAUGAGCCAUACUUUCAGCUGGAUGUCUGUAUAAGGACGUAAAAGAAGGAAGCUUUUACUCUUUGUCUAUCUGCUCUUGCCUUGCUAGCACAUCCAUUCCCUCACUGGUAUUACAACCUACUUCUGGAUUGCAGCAUAUACUGAAGACCACCUGAGACAUGCAGCCUUGUGGGACUGAGCAACCACUAGAUUUUUAGACUUUUUAUUGUUGGAUUAGCUGGACUACAGAGGAAGGAGAGAGAGAUUGAUUCCAUAAGUUCUGUGACUCUAAAGAACCCUGACUAAUACAGAUUUUGGUACCAGAAGUGGUUCUAGAGAAGCAGAAGUAUAAGGAUGAAUCUUUUAAGUAUCUGGAAUAGGCAUUUCAAUUCGCCGGCACCUUCAGCUACUGAAGUCUCUCCAGUCACCCCCUCUCCUGGGAGCUUGGAGAGUACUGAAGGCCCAUGGUAUGAACUGUAUUACAAACUUAAAGAGAUAAAUGAAUUUGAUUAUCCUGGCUCACCAAUUGUGAGCGACAAUGGAUUAGGUGACCCUGUAUAUGAAACUUUUGACAGUUUGGGGGAAAAUAAGGAAAAUGAUGCUGCUGGUUGGUUGCUUUUAGCAUCUCUGGAUAAACUGAUAAAGGAUAGGAAUGAGCUCCGGGAUAAAAUUAACCAACUGCAGAAUAUGGUGAAGGACAACAAAGAACUUAAUGAUAAAAUUGACCAUCUUCAGAUGCUCAUAAACAAUCUAAAGGUUUCUAAGUGUGCCCUGGAAAAGAAUCUUCUCUCCAGCAGCCACAAAGCUCAGUUUAUGGAAAACCAAACUGAAGCUCUCAUUAUUCGGUUAGCCGAGUUACAGGGAAAAUUCAAGUCCCAGCCUCGGAAAGUGUCAGCAGAACCUGUUCGUAAGGACUACCAGAUGCAGUUCCCUUUCAGAUGGAAGGCCAGCAGUAUACCUUUACAGUUUUACCUCAAGGAUAUAUAGACUCUCCUGUUCUGUGUCAUAACUUAGUUAGAAGGGAACUUGAUUGUCUGACUCUUCCACAAAAUAUCACAUUGGUGCACUAUAUUGACGAUAUUAUGCUGACUGGACCAAGUGAACUGGAUGUAGCUACUCAUUGGUAACAACAGAUAUGAAUCAGAAGAUAGGAAAAAUUCAAGAACUGUCUACAACAGUGAAAUCCUUAGGAGUCCAGUGGUGUGGGGAAUGCAGAGAUAUUCCUUGUAAGGUGAAGAAUAAAUAAUUGCAGUUGACCCCACCCCCCACCAAGAAAGAAGCAUAAUGUUUAGUGGGCCUAUUUGGCUUCUGGAAGCAUUACAACUCUCACAUGGGUUUGUUACUCCAGGCCAUAUACUAAGUGACUUGGAAAGCUGUUAGUUUUGUGUGGGGCCUGGGACAGGAGAAGGCUCAACAGAUCCAGGCUACUGUGCAGGCUGUUCUACCACUUGGAUGACAUGAUCCAGCAGACCCAAUGGUACUUGAGGUGUCAGUGACAGAACGGGAAUGCUGUUUGGAGCUUUGGCAUACCAAUAGGUGAAUCACAGAAAAGACCUUUGAGAUUUUGGAACAAGGCUCUACCGUCAUCUGCAGACAACUAUUCUCCCUUUAAAGACAGCUCUUGGCCUGCUAUUGGGCCUCAGUGGAAACUGAACAUUUGACAAUGAGCCAGCAAGUUACCAUGCGACCAGAGCUGCCCAUCAUGAGCUAAGUAUUAUUGGACCACCAAAUCAUAAAGUAGGACAUGCACAGCAGCAAUCCAUUAUCAAAUGGAAGUGGUAUAGAGCUGGAGAGAAAGCUCAGCAGUUAAGAGCACUGACUGCUCUUCCAGAGGUCCUAAGUUCAAUUCCCAGCAACUACAUGGUGGCUCACAACCAUCUGCAAUGGGAUCUGAUGCCCAUUUCUGAUGUGUCUGAAGACAGCUAUAGUAUACUCGUAUACACAAAACAAAUAAAUCUUUUUUAAAAUGGAAGUGGUAUAUGCAUGAUUGAACCUGACCAGGUCCUGAUGGCACAAGUGAGUCACAUGAAGAAGUUGCCCAAAUGCCUAUGAUUUCUGCUCUUGUUACAGUGCAGUCUUACUGCCAAGCAUACACCUAUAGUUUCAUGGGGUGUUCCCUACAAUCAGCGUACUGAGAAGGAGACAGCUAGGGCCUGGUUUACUGAUGGUUGUGCACUUUAUACAGUCACCGCCCAGAAGUAGACAGCUGGAGCAUUAAAAACCCUUUUUGGGACAACUCUAAAAGAUGCUGACAAAGGGAAUUCUUCACAGUGGGCAGAACUUGGCCAAAUGAAUGAUUGUUCACUGAUUCACGUGCUGUAAAAUGGAUUGGCUGAAUAGUCACGGACAUGGAAAGAUCAUGAUUGGAAAAUUGGUGAGAAAAACAUCUGAGGAAGACAUAUGUAGAUGUACAGAGGAUGUGAAGAUAUUUGUGUCCCAAGUAAAUGCUCUUCAAAAGGUGACUUCAGCUAAGGAGUUCAUUAAUCAAGUAGAUAGGAUGACCUAUUCUGGGGACAGUCAACCUCUUUCCCUAGCCAUUCCUGUCAUUGCCCAAUGUCCACAUGAACAAAAUGGCCAUGGUGGCAUAGGUGGGGGUUAUGCAUGGGCUCAAUGAUACAGACUUUCACUCAUCAAGACUGACCUGGCUACAGCUGUUCUGAGUGCCAAAUCUGCCAUGCCAACAUCAGAGACCAACAUUGAAACCCAGAUAUGAUGCCAUUACCUGGGGUGAUCAUCCAGCAACCUGGUGGGAGGCUGACCACAUUGGACCAUUUCCUCCACGGAAAGGACAGUGCUUUAUCUUUACUGGAGUAAAUAGUCUGGUUACAGAUUUGCAUUUCCUGCACCAUAAUGCUUCUGCCAAAACCACAAUUUAUGAACUUACAGAUUGCCUUAUCCAUCAUCAUAGUAUUCCACAAAGUAUUGCUUCUGACCAAGGUACUCACUUCACAGCCAGAGAGAAGUGUGACAGUGGACCCAUGAUCAUGGAAUCCACUGGUCUUACCAUGUUCUCCACCAUCCUAAAGCAGCUGGCCAGAUAGAAAUAUGGAAUGGCCUUUUAAAGACACAGUUACAGUGCCAGUUAAGUAGCAGCAGCCUAGAGGGCUGAGGUAGGGUUCUUCAGAAGACAGUAUAUACUUUGAGUCAGCAUCCAGUGUAAGGUACAAUUUCUCCCAUAGCUAGGAUCCAUGGGUCCAGGAAUCAAGGGCUGGAAAAGGGAAUAUUUUCACACGCCAUCACCCCUAAUGAACCCUAGGGAAAAAAUGCUUUCUGUUCCUGCAACCCUAAGUUCUUUGGUUCCAGAGGGAGAAGUCUCCUGCCAGGAGCUGCAACAAAAAAAAAAAAAAAAAAUCCAUUGAACUAGAAGCUCAGACUUAACCCCUGGCAACUUUGGGCUUCUAGUGCCCUUAAACCUACAGGUUAACAAAGGAAUAGCAGUGUUAGGAGGAGUAAUUGAUCCAGAUUACUAUGGGGAUAUUGGAUUGCUUCUCCCACAGAGGUACAAAAGACUAUGUCUGGAAUGCAGGAGAUUCUUUAGGAUGUCUCAACGUACUAUUAUAACAUGAAUUAAAGUCAAUGGGAAACUACAACAACCUAAUCCAGGCAAGAUGACAAAGGGCACAGACCCUUCAGGAAUGAAGGUAUGGGUCACUUCUCCAGGGAAAGAGCCAAGACCUGCUGAGGUGCUUGCUGAGGAUGGACAAAAUACUUAAUAGGUAGUAGAGGAUGGUAGUUACAAAUACCAGCCAAGGUGAUGUGACCAGUUGCAGUUGCAAAAAAGGAAAAAAAAAAAAAAAUGCCGGGUGGUGGUGGCACACGCCUUUAAUCCCAGCACUCGGGAGGCAGAGGCAGCAGGCGGAUUUCUGAGUUCGAGGCCAGCCUAGUCUACAGAGUAAGUUCCAGGAUAGCCAGGAUGACACACAGAGAAACACUAUCUGGAAAGAAAAAAGAGAGAGAAUAACAGUAAUUAUCAUUAUUUAAGUUUAAGAUACUAAAAGGAUGUCCCCUAAAGGACAUUGCCACUUAGUCUAAAUUUAUAAUUUGUUUUUAGUUGGACCAGGGUUGUACGAGUUAUAUCAUGUUAGGUGUAAUUAUGACCUGGUUAAAUAUAUAACGCAUCUGUGAUUUUACAUGGAAUGGUUAUAUUAUGUUCAAGCAUUAUCAUGACCUGAUAAUUGUUUUCAUUUGGAAAUUAUGACAUAAGAAGCUAUGAUUGUGUAUCAAGUUGAAAAGAGGUGGACUUGUGAUGGCUAUUCUUGGUUGUCAACUUGACUAUAUCUGGAAUAAACUACAAUCCAGUAAUGGAGACCAC
rnacentral:lncRNA from 1 species